GUGCCAGCCGCCGCGGUAAUUCCAGCUCCAAUAGCGUAUAUUAAAGUUGUUGUGGUUAAAAAGCUCGUAGUUGAACCUUGGGCCUGGCUGGCCGGUCCGCCUCACCGCGUGCACUGGUCCGGCCGGGCCUUUCCCUCUGUGGAACCCCAUACCCUUCACUGGGCGUGGCGGGGAAACAGGACAUUUACUUUGAAAAAAUUAGAGUGCUCCAGGCAGGCCUAUGCUCGAAUACAUUAGCAUGGAAUAAUAAAAUAGGACGCGCGGUUCUAUUUUGUUGGUUUAUAGGACCGCCGUAAUGAUUAAUAGGGACAGUCGGGGGCAUCAGUAUUCAACUGUCAGAGGUGAAAUUCUUGGAUCAGUUGAAGACUAACUACUGCGGAAGCAUUUGCCAAGGAUGUUUUCAUUAAUCAGGAACGAAAGUUAGGGGAUCGAAGACGAUCAGAUACCGUCGUAGUCUUAACCAUAAACUAUGCCGACUAGGGAUCGGACGGUGUUAUUCAUGACCCGUUCGGCACCUUACGAGAAAUCAAAGUGCUUGGGCUCCAGGGGGAGUAUGGUCGCAAGGCUGAAACUUAAAGAAAUUGACGGAAGGGCACCACCAGGGGUGGAGCCUGCGGCUUAAUUUGACUCAACACGGGGAAACUCACCAGGUCCAGACACAAUAAGGAUUGACAGAUUGAGAGCUCUUUUCUUGAUUUUGUGGGGUGGUGGUGCAUGGGCCGUCUUAGUGGUGGGGGUGACUUGUCUGCUUAAUUGCGAUAACGAACGAGACCUUAACCUGCUAAAUAGCCCGCAUUGCUCCGGCAGUGCGCUGGC
rnacentral:rRNA from 1 species